GAAGGUAUAGACUUCCUUAAGAUAAGCAUAUGCAUACCUUUGUAUAUUCUUCAGAUUAGUGAAGAAAUCCUAACCAUAUAAGAGCAAUAAAGAAAUGGAAUCUCUAGGACCCCUCUACAGGACAUGGAGCCCUGUUGCUACUCUGUGCUAAACAAUCUGGAGUCAUUAUUUGUACCUGAUUACCAUCCAGUGAUUAUUGUGAAAAUGGAGCUCAAAGCUAAAAAGAAGAAGAAAAUGAACAGAUUGUAUUAUGAGAGUUAGGAUUCCAAGUCAAUGUUUUUUUGGGUUAUAUUUACCAGUUUCAGCACAUUAAACAGUGCCACAUUGACUCCAUCCUCUGUGUUUGUAGAGAUUGAUUUUAUUCUUCCAAUUAAAAUGUUCCACAUC